UGUCAAUUCUUACUUUUCUCUGUCUAGUUUGCAACCAGUCCCUGCACAAAAUGUGUUAUUGUAAAUAAAAGGAGGACAUCACUGGUCUGUCCAGAACAAAGUUCAAGUGAAGCGAUAUCAUCAGWAGAGGAGUAUGCUCCUGAUUCCGUAGAUGAUUCAGACAUCUCAUGGGAUGACAAAUGCACUCCACAGAAAUAUGGACUAGUAAUAGUCCAUAUUUCCAUUUUUGGACUUCUUAAUGCACAUAAAUUUUAUGUUUUUUGUAUGUGUAUGCCAUGGUCCUGAUAAAUAAAAUUGGCCCUGACAAUUACUGUUGGUGUCAUGGGCGGAGCCAAGCACCU